rnacentral:rRNA from 1 species
CCUACGGGGGGCAGCAGUGGGGAAUAUUGCACAAUGGGCGAAACCCUGAUGCAGCGACGCCGCGUGAGGGAUGAAGUAUUUCGGUAUGUAAACUUCUAUCAGCAGGGAAGAAAAUGACGGUACCUGACUAAGAAGCCCCGGCUAACUACGUGCCAGCAGCCGCGGUAAUACGUAGGGGGCAAGCGUUAUCCGGAUUUACUGGGUGUAAAGGGAGCGUAGACGGCGAUGCAAGGCAGAUGUGAAAGCCCGGGGCUCAACCCCGGGACUGCAUUUGAAACUGUGUGGCUGGAGUGUCGGAGAGGGAAGUGGAAUUCCUAGUGUAGCGGUGAAAUGCGUAGAUAUUAGGAGGAACACUAGUGGCGAAGGCGGCUUGCUGGACGAUAACUGACGUUGAGGCUCGAAAGCGUGGGGAGCAAACAGGAUUAGAUACCCGAGUAGUC